rnacentral:rRNA from 1 species
GGCUCAGAUUGAACGCUGGCGGCAUGCCUUACACAUGCAAGUCGAACGGCAGCACGGGGGCAACCCUGGUGGCGAGUGGCGAACGGGUGAGUAAUACAUCGGAACGUGCCCUGUCGUGGGGGAUAACUAGUCGAAAGAUUAGCUAAUACCGCAUACGACCUGAGGGUGAAAGCGGGGGACCGUAAGGCCUCGCGCGAUAGGAGCGGCCGAUGUCUGAUUAGCUAGUUGGUGGGGUAAAGGCCCACCAAGGCGACGAUCAGUAGCUGGUCUGAGAGGACGAUCAGCCACACUGGGACUGAGACACGGCCCAGACUCCUACGGGAGGCAGCAGUGGGGAAUUUUGGACAAUGGGGGCAACCCUGAUCCAGCAAUGCCGCGUGUGUGAAGAAGGCCUUCGGGUUGUAAAGCACUUUUGUCCGGAAAGAAAUCCCCUGGGAUAAUACCUCGGGGGGAUGACGGUACCGGAAGAAUAAGCACCGGCUAACUACGUGCCAGCAGCCGCGGUAAUACGUAGGGUGCGAGCGUUAAUCGGAAUUACUGGGCGUAAAGCGUGCGCAGGCGGUUUGGUAAGACAGGCGUGAAAUCCCCGAGCUCAACUUGGGAAUG